rnacentral:rRNA from 1 species
UACGGAGGGAGCUAGCGUUGUUCGGAAUUACUGGGCGUAAAGCGCACGUAGGCGGCUUUGUAAGUUAGAGGUGAAAGCCUGGAGCUCAACUCCAGAACUGCCUUUGAUACUGCAUGGCUUGAAUCCGGGAGAGGUGAGUGGAAUUCCGAGUGUAGAGGUGAAAUUCGUAGAUAUUCGGAAGAACACCAGUGGCGAAGGCGGCUCACUGGACUGGUAUUGACGCUGAGGUGCGAAAGCGUGGGGAGCAAACAGG